rnacentral:rRNA from 1 species
AUUGAACGCUGGCGGCAGGCCUAACACAUGCAAGUCGAACGGUAACAGGAAACAGCUUGCUGUUUCGCUGACGAGUGGCGGACGGGUGAGUAAUGUCUGGGAAACUGCCUGAUGGAGGGGGAUAACUACUGGAAACGGUAGCUAAUACCGCAUAACGUCGCAAGACCAAAGAGGGGGACCCUCGGGCCUCUUGCCAUCGGAUGUGCCCAGAUGGGAUUAGCUUGUUGGUGGGGUAACGGCCCACCAAGGCGACGAUCCCUAGCUGGUCUGAGAGGAUGACCAGCCACACUGGAACUGAGACACGGUCCAGACUCCUACGGGAGGCAGCAGUGGGGAAUAUUGCACAAUGGGCGCAAGCCUGAUGCAGCCAUGCCGCGUGUAUGAAGAAGGCCUUCGGGUUGUAAAGUACUUUCAGCGGGGAGGAAGGGAGUAAAGUUAAUACCUUUGCUCAUUGACGUUACCCGCAGAAGAAGCACCGGCUAACUCCGUG